GAUGAACGCUGGCGGCGUGCUUAACACAUGCAAGUCGAACGGAAAGGCCAGUGCUUGCACUGGUCCUCGAGUGGCGAACGGGUGAGUAACACGUGGGUGAUCUGCCCUGUACUUCGGGAUAAGCUUGGGAAACUGGGUCUAAUACCGGAUAGGACAACUUUUUGGAUAUUGUUGUGGAAAGCUUUUGCGGUAUGGGAUGAGCUCGCGGCCUAUCAGCUUGUUGGUGGGGUAAUGGCCUACCAAGGCGUCGACGGGUAGCCGGCCUGAGAGGGUGUACGGCCACAUUGGGACUGAGAGACGGCCCAGACUCCGACGGGAGGCAGCAGUGGGGAAUAUUGCACAAUGGGCGCAAGCCUGAGGCAGCGACGCCGCGUGGGGGAUGAAGGCCUUCGGGUUGUAAACUCCUUUCGCUAGGGACGAAGCUUUUUUGUGACGGUACCUGGAGAAGAAGCACCGGCUAACUACGUG
rnacentral:rRNA from 1 species